rnacentral:rRNA from 1 species
CAGCAGGCGCGAAAACUUUACAAUGCUGGCAACAGCGAUAAGGGGACCUCGAGUGCCAGGAUACAAUCUUGGCUGUCGUGAUGCCUAAAAAGCAUUGCAUAGCAAGGGCCGGGCAAGACCGGUGCCAGCCGCCGCGGUAACACCGGCGGCUCGAGUGGUAACCGCUAUUAUUGGGUCUAAAGGGUCUGUAGCCGGCCGGAUAAGUCUCUUGGGAAAUCCGACAGCUCAACUGUCGGGCUUUCAGGGGAUACUGUUCGGCUCGAGGCCGGGAGAGGUGAGAGGUACUUCAGGGGUAGGGGUGAAAUCUUGUAAUCCUUGAAGGACCACCAGUGGCGAAGGCGUCUCACCAGAACGGUCCUGACGGCAAGGGACGAAAGCUAGGGGCACGAACCGGAUUAGAUACCCGGGUAGUCCUAGCCGUAAACGAUACUCGCUAGGUGUCGGCCACGGUGCGACCGUGGUCGGUGCCGUAGGGAAGCCGUGAAGCGAGCCACCUGGGAAGUACGGCCGCAAGGCUGAAACUUAAAGGAAUUGGCGGGGGAGCACAAGGGCAAUUCGCGG